CCUACGGGGUGCAGCAGUGAGGAAUAUUGGUCAAUGGGCGAGAGCCUGAACCAGCCAAGUCGCGUGAAGGAUGACGGCCCUACGGGUUGUAAACUUCUUUUGUCAGGGAGCAAUUGAGUCCACGUGUGGUCUUAGCGAGAGUACCUGAAGACAAAGCAUCGGCUAACUCCGUGCCAGCAGCCGCGGUAAUACGUAGGGGGCGAGCGUUAUCCGGAUUCACUGGGUGUUAAGGGAGCGUAGACGGCCAUGCAAGCCAGGGGUGAAAGCCCGGGGCCCAACCCCGGGACUGCCCUUGGAACGGCAGGGCGGGAGUGCGGGAGGGGCAGGCGGAAUUCCUGGUGUAGCGGUGAAAUGCGUAGAUAUCAGGAGGAACACCGGCGGCGAAGGCGGCCUGCUGGACUGCGACUGACGUUGAGGCUCGAAAGCGUGGGGAGCGAACAGGAUUAGAUACCCCUGUAGUC
rnacentral:rRNA from 1 species